ensembl:lncRNA
GCUUGCCGAGCGUAAAAGAACAAAUGUUAACAAAAUUUUAAGCAGUUAUUAUGAUGUAAGGGUAGGGCUGGAAAAAAAAAAUGAUUCACUCUUAACAGAAAUAGUUAAAACAGAACACAAGAAGCAAGAAGUAUAUAAAGAUGGUAAAGACAGCAAAAACGAUAAAAUCAACAAUAAACAACGUAUUAUUGAUAAGGACUAUAAUGAAAAAGAAGACCAUAUGAACACGUCCCACAAUUGUAGCAUGAUUGAUAGUAGUAGUAGUAGUAGUGUUAGUAAUAAUAGUAGUAAUGUUGGUAUUUAUGACGAUAAGGUAGUAAGCAGUAUAAGUAUUAGAAGUAGUAGAAGCAGUAAAAGUAGUAGAAGCAGUAAAAGUAGUAGAAGCAGCAAAUGCAGUAGAAGCAGCAAAUGCAGUAAAGGUAGUAGUAAUAUAGCCCAUUACAACGAUGGGAAGACAAAAAAAAAAAGAAAAAAAAAAAGAAAAAAAAAAAAGUAAAUUUUAUUAACGAAUUAGAUAAAAACAGUAACGAGUUUAAUGUUAAUAACUAUUUUAAAUAUUUGCUAGAACAGUAUUCAUCUGAUAAAUUAAUUAGCAGUUAUAAAAAAAUUGAAAAAGAAAUAAAGCAAAAUAGUAAUUUUAUGCAAACAUUGGUUUAUGAGAAUUAUACAAAAUUUAUUAAAACAACAGAAACGAUAAGUUUGUUAAAAAAAGAGUUUAAUCAAAUAAAAGAACAAAUAAAUAAAAUCAAUGGUCAUGUGGAAUCUAUUGACAUGUGUUCUACUUUAGUUAAUAAUAAAAUAAAUUCAGAUGUUUCAAAUUUGAAAACAUUAGCACAAAUGAAAAAAUUGUUUUACCAUAUUAAUAAUAUUAUGAAAAUAACAAAAAAUAUGUUUUCUUUAAUAAUUCAAAAACAAUAUGUACAUGCGUUAACUUUGUUUAUCGAGGCUGCUCCUUUUUUUUAUAAAAACAGAAGUAUAAAAACCUUUAAAAACUUAUUUAUGGAUAGUUAUAAUUUGGCAAGAAUUGCAUGUUUUAUGUAUAUACAUGUAUUGAAAAGUGUAGAAACUGAAGUUAUGGGUAGUUUGGUUGUUAAUGGAAGAGAGCAACAGAUAUGUUGCACUAGUAACGAAUACGAUAAAGUUAAAGACGAUUGUACAAAAAUAAAAAGCGAUGGAAGUAAAAUUGAUAAAUCACAUAACACUUUUUCGGAUGCUUCUAAUAUGUAUGAAAAAACGACUUCAACAGUUUACUUAUAUGUUGAAAAAAAUAAAAACUUGAUUAGUGGUUUGUAUAUUUUACUAGCAUUUGCAGUAAGUAAAAGAAAAGUAAUAAAACUGUUUAUAAGGAAUAGGGUUAUUGUUCUUAAGUGUUUAAUAAAAUGUUUAUGUAAUUUAAAUCGGUAUAUCAAUUUUGAUACCAAAAAAAACGAGUUCAAGAAUUCAGUUUUUGAAAAGUGUGAUGGUGUUAGUAGUAACACUAAUAAUGAUAUGCAAAAGUGUAGUAUAAGUUGGAUUGAUAGCUCUAAGAGUGGAGGAAAUAAGAACAAUCAAAAUAGGGAAGGAAAACAAAAUAAAAAUUCUACUAAUUUAUACGACAUUUUGUUUGAAAAUGCUAUAAAAACUUUUUAUGAUAAUGUAAUGCAUUUUUUAUUUGAUAUGCUACACAAUUUAGAAGGUUUAGCAAGUUACGGUAUAUAUAACACGAUGCAGGAUACGUGUGAUCAGCUCGGACCAAGUAAAAGUAAUGACUUCCGUGGUACAAGUAACAGUAUGUGUUUCUUUUUGGAUAACAAUCAAAUAGUCUUACAAAAUGGAAUACCUUAUGUUAGGAAAUUGUUAAAAAAAAUGACAAAAGAACAAGUUUCUAAUAAAAAAUGGAACUGCUUAUUUACAUCUGACAAGUUGGUAAGCAAUACACGAAAGAUGUCGAAAAUAGGAUCAGAAAGGGAUGGAAAUAGAACUGAAAUUGAUGGAAAUAGAACUGAAAUUGAUGGAAAUAGAACUGAAAUUGAUGGAAAUAGAACCGAAAAUGAUGGAAAUAGAACCGAAAUUGAUGGAAAUAGAACCGAAAAUGAUGGAAAUAGAACCAAAAAGAAUGACAUAAGUAGUACAUACCCGCCAGUGAAACAACUAGAGGGUAAGACAUUAUCUUGUGGUAGUAGUAGUAGUAGUAGUAGUAGUAGUAGUAGUAGUAGUAGUAGCCACACGAAUUACAACCAUUAUAAGUUAAAUAAAUUAUGGAAUACAAAUAAAAUAAAAAAGAUAAUUACUUUAUUAAUUAAAACUGUUUUUAAUGUUUUAUUAAAAUAUACUACCGAUAUGAUAUAUAUGUUUAACCCUGCCAUAAAAAUAAUUGUAACGUGUUUACAAACAUUAACAAGUCAUGUAAAAAAGUAUAAUAAACAUAUGACUAUGUUUUCAUUUUGUUUAAAUAAAUUUAUAAAAAAAAUAUAUUAUAGAACUGUAAAACUACAUUUUUAUAAUUUAUGUUUUGUUAUUAAUAAUAACUUAGAAAAUUUGUUUCUCUUUAUUUGUAAUAAUAACGAAAUUGAUUCCAAUUUUAUAGAAAAUAAAAAUACUAUUGGUCAUAACAUAUUGUUAAAUGUUUGUUUAACUAUUAUGGAUUUUGAAGCAUUUUAUGAACAUGUUCAGGUAAAACAUGAUUUUUUUUUUAAAAAUCUGAUUCAUUUUUUGUUUAUCUAUUUUGCUUAUUUGACGAAGUUUGUCAAAUCGAUGGUAAGUAAUUUUGUUUGUGUGUGUGAGAAUGGGUUACUUGGUGGGAAAAAAAAAAAUGAAAACGAAAAACUUGAAAAAGUGGUAAGACGUAGUAGUGACAGAGGUUUAUGUAACGAUAAACAUAAUGAGUGUUGGCAUUCUCAUAAAAAAGAAAUAUUUAAAUAUAAAAACAUUUAUGUAACAACAUUUUGUGAAGAUAGACGAAUAAAAACACGAACGGAUAAAAAAAAAAAUAUGACCAAGUCAGGUAUGUUGUUAAAAUAUUUGUACAGUACUAAGAACAUACAUGAUUUGCCAAAUGUGUUAAUAGAACAAAACUUAAUUAACACAAAAAAGUUUAUGGGCAUGAACUAUAAACAAUUUUUUGACAAAAUAAUAGUUGAACAUGAUUUAAAAACAAAAAAAAAAAAAAAAAUAUAUUUUCUAUUAGCAUUAAUGUCUAUUUACGAACAUUUCAAAAAAGAAAGUAUUACCAAAAUUUUUACUAUUUUUGUUGAUAUAUAUAAAGAUGCCAAAGGGAUAUUAAAUGAAAAAAAAAAAAUAUGUUUACAUAGGAAAUUGGAAAGUUUUUUAUAUACGCAUAAGCGUUCGUACAGUGAGUUAAAAUGGGGGGAAAAUAAGAAAAUGUUUGUCACACAGUUUGGUAGUGACGCGCCGAGUGUUGUGACAGGCAGUAUGACUAGCGGCAUGUCAAGUGACGUGACAAGUGACGUGACAAGUGACGUGACAAGCGACGUGACAAGCGACGUGACAAGCGACAAGGACCCAACAAACAGCUAUAAUGUGUCCAGUGAUGAAUGCAAUGGGGAAGACUUCAAUUCGUACGAAACUGUUAAUUAUAAUUAUAUUAAAAAGUACCUAUUAAAUAGUAAGCGUAUGCCCUUAUUUAAAAAGUAUAUACUUUUAGG